rnacentral:rRNA from 1 species
GGAGGAAUAUUGGACAAUGGGGGAAACCCCGAUCCAGCAACGCCGCGUGAGGGAUGAAGGCCUUCGGGUCGUAAACCUCUUUUAAGGGAGACGAGAAAGGACGGUAUCCCUGGAAUAAGUCACGGCUAACUACGUGCCAGCAGCCGCGGUAAUACGUAGGUGACGAGCGUUAUCCGGAUUUACUGGGCGUAAAGCGCUUGUAGGUGGCUCUGUAAGUUGGGCGUGAAAACACUAGGCUUAACCUGGUUACGCCGUCCAAUACUGCGGGGCUUGAGGAUGUCAGAGGAAGGUGGAAUUCUUGGUGUAGUGGUGAAAUGCGUAGAUAUCAGGAGGAACACCCGUGGCGAAGGCGGCCUUCUGGGGCAUUCCUGACACUGAGAAGCGAAAGCUAGGGGAGCAAACG